rnacentral:tRNA from 1 species
GGUAAAAUGGCUGAGUAAAGCAUUAGACUGUAAAUCUAAGGACAGAAGCUAAACCUCUUUUUACCA